AUCUCGUGGUUCCGUCAUCAAUCGAUACGGACGGUACGUUCGUCUUUCGUCGCGCUUCGUCAUGCCCCGCUUCGCUCAGCGCGCAAUCCACGUUUCCCCAUUAACUCCCGAGCAAGAUAUCCGGAAACAAUCCUCCUGUCACGCAUGGUAUCUAGCGUUAACUCACGUGCCAGAUCCAUCGGGGCAAGCGAUUGUUACAGCGCCCCUCGAAGCAGUCCUCAUCUCACCUCCAACCCACCGGCGGCGUCUGGCAAGCUCCUCCGUGCUGAUGGAGAAGCCGCGUAGCUUUUGGGUCGAGGACGACGAGGGAUGGACGGCCUUCUCGCUUGUGCCGCCCAUGCCCACCACCGAGGCCCUCACGCUCCGUAUCCGGGUCGACGACAAGGCCGGCGCCGCUGAAGCAGAGUAGAAGGACUCCGGUGCCACUCCCAGCGCCGAAUUCACGCCUCGAUUUGGCUCUCGUGGUUAGAUUUGCUAUGAUUCAGAGUUGAGUUGAUUCGUCGACGUGCUUGCCUGAUAGCUCAGACUUCUGACAUGUGAUUGCGGAGCUGGAGUAUGAUCCGCGCCCUAACGGAACUUUCGCCGCCAUACUUCAGGAUACUGCUCGACCAUCCUUCCAAGUGUCGUCACUUUCCGGGCCAGUCUCUGAAGCUCGGGCCAGUCUCUGAAGCUGUCCCUCCGAUUGUCACUGAGAUCCUCAUCACACCUGGACCAUCCUCCAUAUAUGGAGCCGGGGCUAGAAGUACUGCAUAUACACUGACGAAACUGAUUGUUCUAGCUUUGUCGAGCAUUGCCUAGACUAUUCCCGUGACAUGGUCUGCUCCAGGAUUAUACGACCACACUCUGCUAUUGCAAUGCCUUCUCUCAUUUGACGUUAGAUGUGCAUUUUAUUUACUGCUAGCACAUGGAUGAUUUUUGGUCCCCAAGCAAGUGUAGGAUUCAAACCAUUGCGCGAUGCAUGUGCAGGAGUCUACUUUGAUUUAGUUAGACGUAUAAGAGAGACAUCACCAGCAUAAGAAAUUUUAUUGGUCCUUAAAGAACAUAAGAGUUGCAGGGGUAACAAAACAAGUGUUGUACUUUAAAAAAAUGAUUUGAUCUUUAAGGCUGCCUUGUGCUACUCCCUCAUAUCCAUCUAUUUGUAAGAAAACCAUGUGUGAUGGAUUCAGGUGUACAAAAAAGUCAAGAUGGACACCAUGGACCUGCUAUUCAGCAUGGAAAGCGAAAAAAAAAUGUGGAGGCACAUGCCAAGUUUCUCCAAUUCUCAGAUGAAAAUACAUACAAGAGAAGAUCAAUUGUUCUGGAAUACCAAUUUGACUAUUUGUUUCUUGUUUUGUUUGACUAAAAUCUUAGAGGCUCCAUAUGAAGGGCUUAAUGGAUUUAUGGAUUUUGGUGGCUUUGCAGAAGAAGUGAGGCAAUGAGAAGUGUGCAUCCGUGACUUUGUCUAACUUGCCAAGAUUGGGCUCAGGGUGUUCAUAUUCUUGCUUGUUGAAGCCAUUGUUAUCUACACCAACCUCAUGACGUGAUAAGCAAGCUUUGCAAAAAAAAAUCAAACGCGUGUGCCAAUAUAGUAUUUCCCUCCCCAGGUGCAUAUUUUAUUACUUAGUUUUUCACAUGCAUCUCCGAGUGUGUACUAUAUAUUUAUUUUCCAAGUACAUGUUGCAAUUCAAAUAAUUGUUUGCAAGAUGCAGCCUCACAUGUCAUCCAGAUGGUUCUUAACCUGUAGAUUUGUAUCAUUACUCGCAAUCAAGUUUUUCUUUUUUGGAAUACAUAAUAUGAAAUUCCAUAGUUACUUCAUGUAUGUCUGGUACAUCUACAACUCAGUAGCUUUGCAGAAAGGUAAUAAAAUGAUUGAGGAAAUGGACAUCUAUUGGCAUAAACCUAAAUUUGUAACACCACUAAAUACAUGAACUAAUUUGUUUGAACUGGCUUUACUGAAACUAAGAUCUGUACAGUUUGGAUGAUAAACAUUAACUGAGUUUUGUUACUUCACUUGGAUCCAAAUAAAUAGCAAGGCUUACUUUUCCCCAUGCAGUAUAUACAAUAUGAGAAGACCCAGUGUAAAUUCCAUUCUCAUAUUUUUGUCUUGCUUAAGUGUUUGUAUUGUUAUCUUGUAGGAGUACAUUUGGAAAGUAUGAUUAUGUUAAUUUUGUAUUUGAUUACAAUAUUUCACAGGCAUGCGAUGUACCACAUUAUGAUUCUUAAUUUAAUUUUGUACUCCCUCCGUCCAUAUAUAGAUGCCUGAGGUUUGUCUAAAUCUGGAUGUAUCUAGACACUAAAUAGCAUCUAGAUACAUCCAGAUUUAGACAAAUCUCAGACGUCUAUUUGUGGAUAGAGGUAGUAUAUGAUAACAUAAUUCAUAGAGAUAUAUAUGUUGUGAAGAGUGAAGAACAUGCAUUGCAUGUGCACAACUACUCUCUUAACACUGCUUGUGUUUUCCAAGGCCAUGUGACACCUGCUCUGAGCAUACUGCAAUUACAAAUGUUGAUAUUUAAUUUUAGAUGACCAUGUGGUAUAUCAUAAAGGAUAGACUAAGAAAAUGUAAUAAUACAAAAAUUCUUAUACCAAUAAUACUUUCCAGCAGCCAUAAUUAAUUUUUUACACACCUUGUCUGUUUUACUUUCAAAAUGGUGCCCACAUGAAUCUUCUCGUGUAGUACAACUUCAAUAGCUACAACUUCGAAGGUUAGACUAUUAUUAUUUUUCUUGAUUAUGAGUCUGACAUAUAGCAAUUGUAAUUUCACUAUGGGCUAUGCAUGCCAUGUUUAGUUUAAGCAAGUGCUAAAAUUUAUGUAUGAAUAGUAACACUCCAAUGAUGGUUGAUUAUUUACCUACUAAAUUUCUACACGCAUUCAUGUAUGUUCCUUGUGGAUUAUUCAGCCUAUACUUGAAUCAUAGCUACAAAAAUGUUACUCUUUUUGACGGAGUGAAAAUACAUUAUUGCUUGUGAACUCGGUUGCUUUAACUUUGAGAUCAUUUACAUGCUUUUAUGCGGCAAUGCAACACAUGAUAAAUUAUCAUACGAGUGAGAUGGGUCCUGGUUAGAAACAUGUACGCUUGUGUAGCUGGCCUAUUUGUAAUGCUAAAUAUUACACUGGGUAGAGAUCAUUUUCAGGAUAUAUACGUUUUCACUAUCUUCCUACUCAUUUCAUGUAAUAUAUCAUAGGAAGAAUUUAGAAAAGUAGAAGACAAGGAUUCUUCUAUUGCAUAUAACUCCGUCACAUCAUCUUAUCAUUUAUAAUUUUUUGCAUUCAUCAUCUAUGGGCGUGAUUUCAGUUUAUAGCUAAUAAAGUUGAUUCUUCUAUCUUAGUCUGCCUUGCAAUGGUUAUUUUUGCAUUUUGUCACCGGACAUAUGUCUUUUAAUAAUGUAUAUUUGAUGCACACGGUAAUACGUGGAUUAUUUAAUCAUGCUCAUUUUUUGCACACUGUCAUUAGUAUGUUUGUUCUAAUGCCUCUUUAACUUGGGUGAAUGUUAGAUAUUUCUUCAAAGAUGCAUGUAUCAUCAAGAGGGUCUUGCAUAGUAUUAGUAGAGUGAAGGAAACAUAUUGUUCUCAUGCCAGUUCAAAGUGGAAAAUACAUUAUCCCACCAGGACCAGGCGUAAGGAAUCGAAAAGUGUUUGUAGAGGCGUAGGAUUGGAGGAAGAUAUAUGUGUUCGUCUGAUCAAUGAUCAACGUAACCAUUUUUUUGUUGCCUUGCAAUGGCACUAUCAAAGGAUCAGUUGUUGUAGACAAAGCCAGCUCUAAUGAUUGCAAACACAACCAAUUUGGCUUGUGUUCAUGAAGUUGAAUUUUUUUUUUAGAGAA